GGAGGGUUAGCUCAGUUGGGAGAGCAUCUGCCUUACAAGCAGGAGGUCGGCGGUUCGAGCCCGUCACCCUCCACCA
rnacentral:tRNA from 2 species